rfam:Chloroflexi bacterium OLB13 TZ13_contig000031, whole genome shotgun sequence.
AAUUCCGACCGUACUUUGCCGCAGAAUGCAGGUGGGUUCGCCCUUAAUGUCCUGCCGAGGUGAAGGCGCAUAGGGACUGAUUCACAGACCGUAUGGCGGCCUUUGCGUUUUGCGAGGCCGCUUUCAAUUUGCGGCG